rnacentral:rRNA from 1 species
GAGUUUGAUCUUGGCUCAGAUUGAACGCUGGCGGCAUGCCUUACACAUGCAAGUCGAACGGCAGCAUGAUCUAGCUUGCUAGAUUGAUGGCGAGUGGCGAACGGGUGAGUAGUACAUCGGAACGUGCCCUGUAGUGGGGGAUAACUAGUCGAAAGAUUAGCUAAUACCGCGUACGACCUGAGGGUGAAAGUGGGGGACCGCAAGGCCUCAUGCUAUAGGAGCGGCCGAUGUCUGAUUAGCUAGUUGGUGGGGUAAAGGCCCACCAAGGCGACGAUCAGUAGCUGGUCUGAGAGGACGAUCAGCCACACUGGGACUGAGACACGGCCCAGACUCCUACGGGAGGCAGCGGUGGGGAAUUUUGGACAAUGGGCGAAAGCCUGAUCCAGCAAUGCCGCGUGUGUGAAGAAGGCC